CUUCAUACUAAUUUUAGAAACUCUUCAGACCAGACAAGCCAUCAAUGGCCUGGUUUGCCUUUUAGAAGAAGUAGACAUCAAUCAGCCACUGAAGACAAGAAGAGGACGGUCCUGGGGCACUCAACUUCUUCUAAGGUGGAAGUUUGCUUCUAAGGAAAAAUACUGGAAGGAAUAAAAUGCAGCCAAGAGGGGUCGUCGCUUUAACACACACCUGCUCUUUCCUCCCCAUCAGCAGGUGCCCAACAAGAUUGUUGACGAUGUCUGUGUCUACACCAGCAUUUCUCGAUCACCAGUCCCGGCCAUGGAAGCAACAUAUUCCUGCCUUAGGUUUAUUUCUCUCCCUUCUCUGCUUCUGGAUCGUCUCUCCCAUCUCCUCACCCAUCUCCUCCUCCACCACUUACCACCUGCUAUCAGAAUCAGGGUGGAAAACGUGGGCACAUGACCAUGAGUUUUUAGUAUAGUUUUAACAAAAACACAAAAUUCCACAUAAUGCCAUAACAUUAGGUGGCUUCUCUUUAAAAAAAAAAAAAAAAACAAAACAGAAACACAACCCAAAACUAUUGUGUAGACCAGAACACAUAUCAUUUGGUGAUUGAAUUUUUCUGUUUGUUUUUUCUACCAGUCAUGCAAUGUACACUUAAUACAACUCUGAGACUCUUUGAGUACAAACUAGCAAGAAUUGAAACAUUUUACAGACUAACAACUCCAUUUAAAUUCUUGUUUUUACUUGAGUGGGUAAAGAGAUAGGAUAGCUGAAGAGUACCAAGUAAAGGGGUGGGGUAGGUCAUCCCCAGUGGGGUAUCAGAUCAUUGUUCAGUCGACAUGGCCUUAGCCACACUUCCUGAUUCACUGGGAAGUGUUCCUUGUGCAUCAUUUUUGCUCUUGGCCAGCUUACCCCCAUUCUCCACUGCUGCUGCGGCCAUGCCCACAGAUGCCCCAUCAACCGAGUGGCCCCUCUUCCCGUCCCAGGGAAUUAAUGGGCUCCCGGCACUUAUUAGAAGAGGUAGCAGAUCUGGAAAAGGAAAUCAAAACGCAGUAGAGAAGGCAGAACACAGUUUGGGGAGUCUCUGGCAAAUCUGAGUUCAGGUCUGAACUUUAAUACGUGCUGGCUGUGAGGCUUUGAGGAACUCA